AAAGGUUCAGUAGACUUUUUGCUCUAAAUGAAUGGUUAUUGUCAUGGUGUAAAGAACAGAAACUGCUCUUUGUUAAUAAUUGGAAUCUUUUCUGGGAGCGUCCUAGGCUUUUUCGCGCUGAUGGCCUGCACCCCAGCAGAGUUGGAGCAGAACUCCUGUCGGACAACAUCUCCAGGACUCUACGCUCCAUUUGACUAGAUUUACACAAGCUCCAGUCUGGAUCCAGAACACCUGAGAAGAGAUGAUGCCAACCCCUCAGAGGACCUCAGAUGAUGCUAACCCAGAGACAACAUACAGAACUACCACAUUUUGCUAUAAGUUUGAUUGCAUAAUUGCUGUUAAAAGUGUUAAUCGUCUGUUUGUUUACGUCUUUUAUUGAUUUUUCUGAACAUUUCUGCCAUAUGCACAUAAACUGACAGUCAUCACUGAUAAGCUACUACUAAAUAUUGUAGAAACUUAAUUUUCUGUAAAGUUGCUUUGCAAUGAUUUGUAUCGUAAAAAGCGCUAUACAAAUAAACUUGAAUUGAAAACUUGAAUUGAAUGCGCUCACCACACACCAGCUACAGGUGGAGAGGAGAGAGAGAUAGAGCCAAAUCUGUGGAUGGAAUUAUUUGGAGACUAUGACUGACAAGGGCCAGUGGAAAGAAUUUGGCCCGGACACCGGGAUACACCCCUACUCUUUAUAAAAAGUGCCAUGGGAUUUUUAAUGACCACAGAGAGUCAGGACCUCGGUUUAACAUCUCAUCCAAAGAAAGGUGCUUUUUACAGUAUAGUGUCCCCGUCACUAUACACUACUGGGGUGUUAGGACCCACACAGACCACAGGGUAAGCGCCCCCUGCUGGCCUCACUAACACCUCUUCUUGACUUUUCUGUGUUCAUGUUUCCCCUUCCCUUUGUAUUUUGGUAUUUCCUUUGUUGUCAUGGUUUCAUGUAAUGCCUUUUUUUACAGUGCAUUAAUAUACCCAUUUUCUUUUGUCUCCUUGAGUAUUUUGUGUUCUUAUUUGCCAGUGACUUUUGGUUUAUUCCAACACAUUUACAUUUAUGCACUUAGCAGACACUUUCAUCCAAAUUGACAUACAAAGACAAGUUCACAUUUUUGUUAUGAAGGUCAGGCUGUUUCCGGUUUAGUUUUUUUUUUUCUUCCCUGCUUUUCAUUUUUGGUUCCUUUAUGUCACUAUCACAAUUUCAGUACUCUGCAUUUGUGUUCUUUGCCAUAUCAUGCCUCAUGAGUUGUCUUUUAAAACAGUGAUUGAGUAAGAGAUGAAGUUUGAAAGUGGAAAAAAUAAUGAAGAACAAAGUCAAACUCUGCCAUUUAAUGGACACAGAAGAACUCAGCACAAGUCAGUCAUAUGCUUGCUUGUAUGUGUAGUUUCUUGUCUUCAUUCUUCAACUUUAGUCUUAAAAAAAG
ensembl:lncRNA